AAAUUGAAGAGUUUGAUCAUGGCUCAGAUUGAACGCUGGCGGCAGGCCUAACACAUGCAAGUCGAACGGUAACAGGAAGCAGCUUGCUGCUUCGCUGACGAGUGGCGGACGGGUGAGUAAUGUCUGGGAAACUGCCUGAUGGAGGGGGAUAACUACUGGAAACGGUGGCUAAUACCGCAUAACGUCGCAAGACCAAAGAGGGGGACCUUCGGGCCUCUUGCCAUCAGAUGUGCCCAGAUGGGAUUAGCUGGUUGGUGAGGUAACGGCUCACCAAGGCGACGAUCCCUAGCUGGUCUGAGAGGAUGACCAGCCACACUGGAACUGAGACACGGUCCAGACUCCUACGGGAGGCAGCAGUGGGGAAUAUUGCACAAUGGGCGCAAGCCUGAUGCAGCCAUGCCGCGUGUAUGAAGAAGGCCUUCGGGUUGUAAAGUACUUUCAGCGGGGAGGAAGGUGUUGUGGUUAAUAACUGCAGCAAUUGACGUUACCCGCAGAAGAAGCACCGGCUAACUCCGUGCCAGCAGCCGCGG
rnacentral:rRNA from 1 species